rnacentral:rRNA from 1 species
UACGUGGGUGGCAAGCGUUGUCCGGAAUUAUUGGGCGUAAAGGGCGCGCAGGCGGCGUCGUAAGUCGGUCUUAAAAGUGCGGGGCUUAACCCCGUGAGGGGACCGAAACUGCGAUGCUAGAGUAUCGGAGAGGAAAGCGGAAUUCCUAGUGUAGCGGUGAAAUGCGUAGAUAUUAGGAGGAACCCCAGUGGCGAAAGCGGCUUUCUGGACGACAACUGACGCUGAGGCGCGAAAGCCAGGGGAGCAAACGGG